CGGUGGAGUAUGUGGUUAAUUCGAUGCAACGCGAAGAACCUUACCUGGUCUUGACAUCCCGGAGACCCUUAGGAACUAGGGGUGCUUCCAUCUGGAAGAAUCUGGAGACAGGUGCUGCAUGGCUGUCGUCAGCUCGUGUCGUGAGAUGUUGGGUUAAGUCCCGCAACGAGCGCAACCCUUGCCUUUAGUUGCCAGCAGUUCGGCUGGGCACUCUAAAGGGACUGCCGGUGUUAAACCGGAGGAAGGUGGGGAUGACGUCAAGUCCUCAUGGCCUUUAUGACCAGGGCUACACACGUACUACAAUGGCCGAUACAAAGGGCAGCGACACUGCGAGGUGAAGCCAAUCCCGUAAAAUCGGUCUCAGUCCGGAUUGGAGUCUGCAACUCGACUCCAUGAAGUUGGAAUCGCUAGUAAUCGUGGAUCAGCAUGCCACGGUGAAUACGUUCCCGGGCCUU
rnacentral:rRNA from 1 species